rnacentral:rRNA from 1 species
UACGGGGGGGGCAAGCGUUGUUCGGAAUUACUGGGCGUAAAGGGCUCGUAGGCGGCCAACUAAGUCAGACGUGAAAUCCCUCGGCUUAACCGGGGAACUGCGUCUGAUACUGGAUGGCUUGAUUGGGAGAGGGAUGCGGAAUUCCAGGUGUAGCGGUGAAAUGCGUAGAUAUCUGGAGGAACACCGGUGGCGAAAGCGGCGAGCCUGGACCG